rnacentral:rRNA from 1 species
UACAGAGGGUGCGAGCGUUAAUCGGAAUUACUGGGCGUAAAGGGCUCGUAGGCGGCCAACUAAGUCAGACGUGAAAUCCCCAGGCUCAACCUGGGAACUGCGUCUGAUACUGGUUGGCUUGAAUCCGGGAGAGGGAUGCAGAAUUCCAGGUGUAGCGGUGAAAUGCGUAGAUAUCUGGAGGAAUACCGGUGGCGAAGGCGGCAUCCUGGACCGGCAUUGACGCUGAGGAGCGAAAGCUAGGGGAGCAAACGGG